rnacentral:tRNA from 1 species
GCGGUCAUAACUCAGUUGGUUAGAGUGUCAGAUUGUGGCUUUGGAAGUCACGGGUUCAAGUCCCGUUGUCCGCC